GAAGGAGGGAAGAAAGGAAGGAAGGAAAGACAGACAUAUUUUCUGUCUUUUCCUAUUUCCAGCUUCUGGUAUAGAGCUCCUAAAACCCUUGAAACUUCCUAAGUGAUAAGAGCAAUAAUAUCCACAACAAACCUCUUUCAACCACACCUGAGUUUUGUUAAUGCAGUCAAUGUAAUGACUUCUAGAAAGCGUGGAAACCUGGGGCUGGUUACCAGGGGAACCAACCUUGCGACUGGAGGAUUAGGAAUUUCAGUCCCACCUCUGGGGGGUGGAGAGAGAACUUGAAUGCUGAACCUAUCACCAGUGGCCCAUGAUUUAACCAACAAUGCCGGUGUGAGGAAGCCUCUGAAAAAACUCAACAGGCCCACGUUCUGAGAGCUUCCAGUUGGUGCAUUCAUGGACGUUGAGGAGAGGCAUAGACGCGCUGAGCGCUUUCCCCGUUCCUUGCUGUAUGCAUCUCUUCCAUCUGGCUGUUCCUGGGUCAUUUUAUAGCAAGCCGGCAGUAUAAACUGGACCAUGUGGUUUACGCCAAGAAGCAGUUUCUGGGAGAGGUCGUUGUUCUAACAUUUACAUGGCUACCUCGAGCAAAAUUGAGAUUCUCCUGAUGAGGAAAGUGGGAGCCCCCAAGGACAUGAGCUGUCGUCACCCAGUUCUCUGUGGAGAGACCAAGUCUGCAGCCCAAGCCCCUGAUGCCCAAGCUGGUGCCCAUUCUAUUGCAGCACCUUGUUGGGAGUGAUUUGAAAAUGCAAAGCUGAAUCAAGAGACUAGAAUGAUCUGCCCUCACCCUUUGGGGGAGGGGGUACAGAGGAGGGGAAGGCCAUCUCACAGAAGCAUAGCCCUUGGCCCAGGAGGAAAUUAACUGAACUCCCAGGACUGUGAUGAUGUGUGUGUGCUGGCAUGAAAAUGAGGGCCCCUCUUAGCGGCAGAUAGGGGAAUUCCUCUGGGUCAAGACUUUUAUUCACUCUAUGGUUUUUAAUUAGCAAUCCUGAUUUUUCCAAGGAUUGCAUUAAAUCAGCAAAUGCUUCUUGCACAACUUCCCACCCUCUAUUUACUCUUAGACAGUUCAGGUCACUAAAAUGUAGAAAAGGAAGGGAAAUUUGAGAUCCUGGUGCUUAAUGCAAGAAGAGAUGAAGGAAAGAGUCAUGAAAUGUCAUUUGGAAAUAUUUCGUAGAUGUUGAAUGCCCUCUGUUCGGGACAAUGACCGUGAUAGUUGUUUCAUUAAAGAAUGCUUUGUUCUGCUUGGCAUAAAAUGUAGCACUAGCUUUUGUGGGGUUGUUGGGUUUUUUUGUUUUUUUGGGGGGUUUUUUUGGCUGUUGUUUAAAUGAUGAAGUGAUGAAGUCAAUGAAAAUCAUAGACUGUCUGCUUGGCAGAAACAAAAUAAAGUCACAUCUGGAAACAGCUGCACUAGUAAUUAAAUGGCAUUUAAUGUGACUAAUAUCAAAAGGAUGGGUUUUUCUCCCCCUAGCAUUAGGGAGGCAAAAUUCAAGCUCCGGAGCUGCUCUAUGAUAAUAGUUUUGAGACAGUGGCUGUUUAGAACUCAUUCUGGUAUUUAUAAAGAAAAGCCCCCAGUGAGCCACAGAAGGGAAUUUGAGUUAGGGAAAAAAAAAAAAAAAAAAAGAAAAGAAAGAAA